rnacentral:rRNA from 1 species
AGCAGCCGCGGUAAUUCCAGCUCCAAUAGCGUAUAUUAAAGUUGUUGCAGUUAAAAAGCUCGUAGUUGAAUUUUGGAUUUUGCCAUUUGGUCCAUCUUUUAGAUGAGUACUGAAUGUGUGGGAUCUAUCCGCCUGAUAAUACGUAAUGUUCUUUAUUGAAUGUUGCGGGUAGUCAGGACUUUUACCUUGAAAAAUUAGAGUGUUUAAAGCAGGCUUAUGCCGGAAUACAUUAGCAUGGAAUAAUAGAAUAGGACGAAGUUGUUUUAUUUUGUUGGUUUUUAGGACAACCGUAAUGAUUAAUAGGGAUAGUUGGGGGCAUUAGUAUUCAAUUGUCAGAGGUGAAAUUCUUGGAUUUAUUGAAGACUAACUACUGCGAAAGCAUUUGCCAAGGAUGUUUUCAUUAAUCAAGAACGAAAGUUAGGGGAUCGAAGACGAUCAGAUACCGUCG